UAGGGAAUCUUGCGCAAUGGGCGAAAGCCUGACGCAGCCAUGCCGCGUGAAUGAUGAAGGUCUUAGGAUUGUAAAAUUCUUUCACCGGGGAAGAUAAUGACGGUACCCGGAGAAGAAGCCCCGGCUAACUUCGUGCCAGCAGCCGCGGUAAUACGAAGGGGGGCUAGCGUUGCUCGGAAUUACUGGGCGUAAAGGGCGCGUAGGCGGACAUUUAAGUCAGAGGUGAAAGCCCCAGGGCUCAACCUUGGAAUUGCCUUUGGAUACUGGAUGUCUUGAGUUCGGGAGAGGUGAGUGGAAUGCCGAGUGUAGAGGUGAAAUUCGUAGAUAUUCGGCGGAACACCAGUGGCGAAGGCGACUCACUGGCCCGAUACUGACGCUGAGGCGCGAAAGCGUGGGGAGCAAACAGGAUUAGAUACCCUGGUAGUCCACGCCGUAAACGAUGAGUGCUAGUUGUCGGCAUGCAUGCAUGUCGGUGACGCAGCUAACGCAUUAAGCACUCCGCCUGGGGAGU
rnacentral:rRNA from 1 species